AGAGAGAGACAUGCGCGCAUAUCAAUAAGCGGAGGAAAAGAAACCUAACAAGGAUUCCCCUUAGUAACGGCGAGUGGAAGCGGGAAGAGCUCAAAUUUGAAAUCUUCAAGGUUUUACCUUGACGAAUUGUAGUUUAAAGAAGUGUUUUCUGCUGAAGUUUUGGUAAAAGUUCUUUGGAAUAGGACAUCAUAGAGGGUGAGAGUCCCGUAUUUGACCAUUAUUUUCAGCUUUGUGAUACACUUUCAAAGAGUCGGAUUGUUUGGGAAUGCAGUCCAAAAUGGGUGGUAAAUUUCAUCUAAAGCUAAAUAUUGGCGAGAGACCGAUAGCGAACAAGUACCGUGAGGGAAAGAUGAAAAGAACUUUGAAAAGAGAGUUAAACAGUACGUGAAAUUGUCAAAAGGGAAGCGUUUGACACCAGUGUUGUUUUCUCGAAAAUCAAUUAAAAACUGGCUCGAUUUUGUAUUGUUGAGACCUUAAAAGCUCACUGUACAUUUUUCGUGUCUUUUUUAAUGCACUUUUCGUUUAACAAGUCAACAUCAGUUUCUUUUGUUGUAAAAGGGUCAUUGGAAGGUGGCUUUCUUUUCGGGGAAAGUGUUUAUAGCCUUUGGCCUCUGCAAUCGAAGAGACUGAGGUCUGCAGCGUAGACUCUUCGGGGUUAGAUACAUUUGUGCUAAGUUAUAGCUUUUUAUAGACAACUUGUUGACUAUAAUUAGUCUUGUAGCUUACUCGCUUAUGCUAUUUUACCUACGCUUAGGAUGUUGAAGAUGUAGCACAUCAU
rnacentral:rRNA from 1 species